UACGGGGGGAGCAAGCGUUGUUCGGAUUUACUGGGCGUAAAGGGCGCGUAGGCGGUCAGCACAAGUCAGUUGUGAAAUCUCCGGGCUUAACUCGGAAAGGUCAACUGAUACUGUGCGACUAGAGUGCGGAAGGGGCAACUGGAAUUCUCGGUGUAGCGGUGAAAUGCGUAGAGAUCAGGAAGAACACCGGUGGCGAAGGCGCUCUGCUAGGCCGCAACUGACACUGAGGGACGAAAGCUAGGGGAGCGAAUGGG
rnacentral:rRNA from 1 species